rnacentral:rRNA from 1 species
GACGAACGCUGGCGGCGUGCUUAACACAUGCAAGUCGAACGAGGCCCCUCCUUCGGGAGGGUGUCCUAGUGGCGAACGGGUGAGUAACACGUGGGCAACCUGCCCCCGGCUCUGGGAUAACUCCAAGAAAUUGGGGAUAAUACCGGAUAUGACCGCUGACCGCAUGGUCGGCGGUGGAAGGUUUUUCGGCUGGGGAUGGGCCCGCGGCCUAUCAGCUUGUUGGGGGGGUAGUGGCCUACCAAGGCGACGACGGGUAGCCGGCCUGAGAGGGUGACCGGCCACACUGGGACUGGGGCACGGCCCAGACUCCUACGGGAGGCAGCAGUGGGGAAUAUUGCGCAAUGGGCGGAAGCCUGACGCAGCGACGCCGCGUGGGGGAUGACGGCCUUCGGGUUGUAAACCUCUUUCAGCAGGGACGAAGCGAAAGUGACGGUACCUGCAGAAGAAGCACCGGCCAACUACGUGCCAGCCGCCGCCGUAACAC